rnacentral:rRNA from 1 species
GACGAACGCUGGCGGCGUGCCUAAUACAUGCAAGUUGAGCGCUGAAGGAUGGUACUUGUACCAACUGGAUGAGCAGCGAACGGGUGAGUAACGCGUGGGGAAUCUGCCUUUGAGCGGGGGGCAACAUUUGGAAACGAAUGCUAAUACCGCAUAAAAACUUUAAACACAAGUUUUAAGUUUGAAAGAUGCAAUUGCAUCACUCAAAGAUGAUCCCGCGUUGUAUUAGCUAGUUGGUGAGGUAAAGGCUCACCAAGGCGAUGAUACAUAGCCGGCCUGAGAGGGAGAUCGGCCACAAUGGGACUGGGACACCGCCCAAACCCCUACGGGGGGCAGCAGUAGGGAAUUUUUGGCAAAGGAGGACAGGCUGAACCAGGAACGCCGCGGGAGGGGAGAAGGGUUUCGGAUUGGAAAACUCUGUUGGUAGAGAAGAACGUUGGGGAGAGUGGAAAGCUCAUCAAGUGACGGUAACUACCGAGAAAGGGACGGCUAACUACGUG